AAAAAGAUAAACCUUGAUUUCCGUGUCCAACGUUUGACCGUCCGUCUUAUUAAAAAAUUUAUAAAAAAAAUUAAAAAAAACAAGUCACACAUAAAAUAUUAAUCAUGUUUUAUCAUUUAACAAUAAUAAAAAUACGAAUUAUAAAAAAAUUUCAUAUAAGACGGACAGUUAAAAUUGGACACGAAAACUCAAGGUUUGACUUUUU
rnacentral:pre_miRNA from 1 species